GAGAAGAUCUACCCCUAGUACGAGAGGACCGGGGCGGACGAACCUCUGGUGUAUCGAUUGUGGCCACCUGCUGCAUUGUCGAGUAGCUAUGUUCGGAAUAGAUAAGCGCUGAAAGCAUAUUAAGCGCGAAACUAACUUCAAGAUUAGAUUUCCCUAUGAGGACACAGAAAGACUAUCUGUUUGAUAGGCGCAAGGUGGAAGUACAGUAAUGUAUGGAGCUAAAGCGUACUAAUAGUCCCAUCGCCUUUUUAUG
rnacentral:rRNA from 1 species